rnacentral:lncRNA from 1 species
AUAUUGGAACUUCUGAAAAUUACUACUUUUUUCAUUGUUGGCAUAUGUAAACAUAGACCCUGUGGGAGCCU